rnacentral:rRNA from 1 species
AUGGACUUGUUGCCGCACCAUCACUUCUCGAGCCGGUCCUCCAGAGUUCUACUCAAUGGUGUUGCGGGCGACCCAAUCACGCACGGAUGUGGGCUUCGACAGGGGGAUCCUCUCUCCCCUCCGCUCUUUGUCCUUGCCAUUGAUCCCCUGCACCAUAUCCUAGCCAAGGCUACCGCGCAAGGCAACCUCCAUCCACUC